GACGAACGCUGGCGGCGUGCCUAAUACAUGCAAGUCGAACGCACAGUUUAUACCGUAGCUUGCUACACCAUAGACUGUGAGUUGCGAACGGGUGAGUUACGCGUAGGUAACCUGCCUGGUAGCGGGGGAUAACUAUUGGAAACGAUAGCUAAUACCGCAUAAUCUUGAUUAUUGCAUGAUAAUUGAUUGAACGAUGCUAUUGCAUCACUACUAGAUGAACCUGAGUUGUAUUAGCUAGUAGGUGAGGUAACGGCUCACCUAGGGGAAGAUACAUAGCCGGCCCGGGAGGGUGAGCGGCCACAAUGGGAACGGGAAACGGCCCAGACGCCUACGGGAGGCAGCAGGAGGGGAACUUUGGCAAAGGACGAAAGGCUGAACGAGCAACGCCGCGGGAGUGAAGAAGGUUGUCGGAUCGGAAAGCUCGGUUGUAAGAGAAGAACGGGUGUGAGAGUGGAAAGUUCACACUGUGACGGUACCUGACCAGAAAGGGACGGCUAACUACGUG
rnacentral:rRNA from 1 species